UACGUAGGGACCAAGCGUUGUUCGGAUUUACUGGGCGUAAAGGGCGCGUAGGCGGCUUAACAAGUCACUUGUGAAAUCUCCGGGCUUAACUCGGAACGGCCAAGUGAAACUGUCAAGCUAGAGUGCGGAAGGGGCAAUCGGAAUUCUCGGGUGUAGCGGUGAAAUGCGUAGAUAUCGAGAGGAACACCUGCGGCGAAGGCGGGUUGCUGGGCUGACACUGACGCUGAGGCGCGAAAGCCAGGGAGCGAACGGG
rnacentral:rRNA from 1 species